UAUCCAUCCAUAUUGUGUGCCCUACCCUU
rnacentral:sRNA from 1 species